AAGAGACCGUUGGGCCUUGUGCUGGCUCUAUCUCUCUCUCUGGUUUACCUGGAGGGGACUGGCUGCCUUCCCUUGCUGGCUGUUUUCUAUCUGCUCUUCUCCAUCCUACCUGCUUCCCUACUGGCUGGAUUGAUAGCUACAGAGCUUCCUGGUGAUCCUGAACCAUCUGCAGUGAUUGAGUACAACAAGGGGUUCAAGAAAAAUGCCAUUUCCCCCAACCACUCUCAAGGGGAAGCUAAUCAUUAGCGUACUAUCACCAGCAGAUUUGGCAUCCCAUGUCCUUAUGAUGUACAGUGAUGAGAGACACUUCUGAGCAGGUGACUGUUUAUUCUAUUGUCUGUCUGCCUGUGGAAUGCACCUCCACAGCAGAAUGUCUGGAAACCCCUAGAGGAUGGGGUCGUGGUCACCAUUAAUCACUCAUCAUCCUACAAAACACGAUUAAUCAUAAAAAGGAAAUUAGCAGAGGUUUGACAAGAAAAGAAAGAAAGAAAGAAAGAAAGAAAGAAAGAAAGAAAGAAAGAAAGAAAGAAAGAAAGAAAGAAAGAAAGAAAGAAAGAAAGAAAGAGAAAGAAAGAAAGAAAGAGAGAGAGAAGAGAGAGAAAGAAAAAGAAAGAAAGAAAGAAAGAAAGAAAGAAAGAGAGAGAGAAGAGAGAGAAAGAGAAAAAAAAAGAAAAAGGAAGGAAGGAAAUGUGUGAGAUAAAA
rnacentral:lncRNA from 1 species